rnacentral:snoRNA from 1 species
ACUCAGUGAUGAAACCUUUGUCCAGUUCUGUGACUGACUUUAAGUGAUGAUAAAGUAUGUCUGAGGAGU